GGGUCUAUAGCAUAACUGGUUAAUGCACCCGACUCAUAAUCGGUAGAGUCUCAGUUCAAGUCUGAGUAGACCCACCA
rnacentral:tRNA from 1 species